rnacentral:lncRNA from 1 species
AUCAAAGAUUCAGGCUUAGACUCAGACUUGGGGAUUGAACUUUGAAGUGGAUUCCAUCUGAGUCGCAAACAAUUUCUGCUAGGUGGUUGAGAACUUUUGGUGGUAUCUGGAGAGGUAGCGUCCUCGAAGAGGAGGAGAACUUAAAAGCAGGAAGCGGAGAAAAAUCAGAUGCAGAUCAGAUUAUCCUGUGUUGGUGGCAGCAGAGAAGAGUAUUAAUGACAAGUAGUGAAUUGGAGCACACUGUAAAGUAAAUACACAGAUCUCAUCCAGGCAGCAGGUUGGAUGGUCGCUGUCCCAGGCCCUGGAAGGGCCUUGUUUCUGCUUCAGGUUCGUGGUGAAGGAAGAGAACUUCGGAACUGUGAUGCAGGGGCGAGAAACAUCGGGAAGGCAAUUUUCUCUCGAAUAGAAAGACAAACACAGUCGUGAUGAAGACUUGUUUAAAAAUGGGGCAUGGUAUUUGGGGAGUUGUUCCUGUAGAAGGGAGGACUGGAACUUCCGUGU